rnacentral:rRNA from 1 species
CGUAACAAGGUCUCCGUAGGUGAACCUGCGGAGGGAUCAUUACACAAAUAUGAAGGCGGGCUGGAACCUCUCGGGGUUACAGCCUUGCUGAAUUAUUCACCCUUGUCUUUUGCGUACUUCUUGUUUCCUUGGUGGGUUCGCCCACCACUAGGACAAACAUAAACCUUUUGUAAUUGCAAUCAGCGUCAGUAACAAAUUAAUAAUUACAACUUUCAACAACGGAUCUCUUGGUUCUGGCAUCGAUGAAGAACGCAGCGAAAUGCGAUAAGUAGUGUGAAUUGCAGAAUUCAGUGAAUCAUUGAAUCUUUGAACGCACAUUGCGCCCUUUGGUAUUCCAAAGGGCAUGCCUGUUCGAGCGUCAUUUGUACCCUCAAGCUUUGCUUGGUGUUGGGCGUCUUGUCUCUAGCUUUGCUGGAGACUCGCCUUAAAGUAAUUGGCAGCCGGCCUACUGGUUUCGGAGCGCAGCACAAGUCGCACUCUCUAUCAGCAAAGGUCUAGCAUCCAUUAAGCCUUUUUUUCAACUUUUGACCUCGGAUCAGGUAGGGAUACCCGCUGAACUUAAGCAUAUCA